AGGCGGGCGCGAGCUUCAGGGAACUUAGGGGGCUCCCGCCUCCCCGGCCACGCGAGCGGGAACAGUCUCCUCCACUCGGAGCGGGCUCCUUUACUAGUUCAUGCCUAUCACCUUGACCUCUUGAUAUUGGAAUGUCCCAGAGCCACUCAUCAUGCCUUACCUGGAUGAUGCAGAAGUCCCUGGAAACAGAAGGUCUCACCCUUCUUUAUCUUUCUCAUGGCUUUCCAAGGCUCUUUAUCAUGUUACUUUCCUGCUCAGAAUUCUUUAAUGACUUGCCUCAAUGACCAGAUACAUGUGAUCUACAGUCAGCCUUCCAGCCUCAUCAUUCCUCUUCCAUUUCCUCCCCAGAAACACUGUACUUUAUGAAGCUCCUCCAAGACGAAAAAUAAAUUCAAAUAUGGAAUAAAAAGCCCAAACUCAUGAAACUGGACUGACUUUGCUUCUUAAAAAUUCAACAUGCUGCAGCUGCAUGCUUAAACCUGGUUCAAACAGGAUGAUGAAAUAAAACAUUAUUAUUGUGGGAAUAUAACACUGUCUAAAUAAAUAGCCAACAUGAAAACUGUCUCUAAAACCCAUAGCAUCUGUAUGUGCAGACUGUAAGUAAGUUAUAUAAUUCCUCCACUAUUCUGUAACAUGGCCAAUUCAGAAUGUCUUACCAUUAAUCUUGAAGACAUUUAAAGAUGUUCACUUUUCUAACUCUUCCCUUUGAAAAUAUAUUUGAACCUUAUUUGCAAUAAAAAUCUCAUAAUAUUGUA
rnacentral:lncRNA from 1 species